ACUCCUGGAGUGCUUUGCCACAUUGUUACCAGAAACCAAAAUCUCUCUACUAAGUGUGUACAGGGAAGUCCUAGGCCAAGUGAACGAUUGUCCUUAUUAUUGAUAUCCACGAUUAUCAUUUUUCAUUACCUCUUUUUCAAAUUUUGCUUUUGAAAUAUUCAUGUACUUUGAUUUCAUAUGGCCAAGAAGACAUUGUACUUGAGUAUUUAAUUGGUAAUUGUUCAUAGAUAUCAAGAGUCCUAAUGGUUUUUUUUCUUCCAGUUACCACAACAUUGGUAUGAAUCCCUAUUGAAGUUAGUGGGGGGAAAUGUUAACUUUGUCUACAGUGUAUUACUGUAUAUUAAACUGAAAUAGUCCAUUAAAGGAUUUUUUAUUUGGAUUAAAAAUAGGAACAACCAUAAAAUUUCUAGACCAAGCUGUAACUUUUCCAGUAGAAAGCUCUUGUAAUCCCUAGAGGCAUCUUGCACAUCCAUGGUGAGGAGAGGGUGUACCCAGAGGAUAGGAGGGGUGCCUGUGGAGAUCCGGGAGUGCUGGACUUCCUGUUCCCUUACCCUGUGCAGUGCCAGUUAUGAUGUGCUGGGUUCCUACAUGGGAAAAACUAUGGUUAUCCAGUUUGUAUUUCCUUGGUAAAUAUUUUAAAACUAACACAGUCAUUGACUUUCCAAUUCAAUAAUAAAGUUUGGCAAAGCCUAUUUUGUAAACAAGUUAAUUUUAUAAUGUAAAAAAAAAGUUAAUCUAACCUUGACUUGUUAUUUGCACUUUCAUAGUCUAUACUUGAUACAUUCCCACUUUAUAUACAGUAGGAUUCUACAGACCUGUAGAUGUUUGGUCAAAUGAAUGCUGUUAAUAUGUAAAAUUCUUUGAUUAAACAUUUAUUACUUAAACUAUUUCCAUUUUUGUCUCAUUAAAUUAUAAACUUCAUUUAAAACUAAUUAGAAAGCAAAUCUUGCUUUAUAUUAAAUACCCUCCAAUAUGACAGUAUUAAUUUGGUUCUAUUAUGUAAUUGAAUAGUGCCUAAUAUUUUUACAGUAACCCACUUGCUGAAAAUUGUAUACCCAAGAGGUAAAUUUGAUUUCACUAUGACAAUGUAUUAAAAUUAAUUUGAUGACAAGUGUAUUAAAAUUGUGAAUUUAGUGCUCAUUUUCAUUUCUAUCAAUUUAUGAGGAAAAUGUUAUGAUUUCCUUGGAAUCCAGCAGAGAAACAGUGAUAGAACUUGAAGAUCUGUUUUGUGAAAUUGGGAGGAAGAAAUGUAUGCCAUAUGAAUAAAA
rnacentral:lncRNA from 1 species